ACUGUAUAUUGUCUUUCAAAGUUUCAUCAAAUCUUUCAUUAUUUCAUCACUCAUAUUGGAUUCUGGGUGAAUUCAUAUUCACAUAUCGACUGUGAGGUAUUGUGAAGACGAUUGAUUUGUGCUUUUCUCCCGCAGACACUGUCGAUGUUAGCUGUGUGUGUGUGUACCUGUAUCUCUCCUCCUGCAGGCACUGUGUCAUGUAGGAGUAGUCGCUCUGCAGCUGCCCCUUCAUGUCCUCGAUGGCGUCCUCCAUGUGUGCCUGGCUGGCUUUGAUCUCCUGCAGACCCUCCAGAAGGGAGUCCCAGGAGCUAUGGACGUGAUGGUGGUGGUGGCUGUCCAACCUGGGGCUGCCCAUGGAAGGCCCCAGCAUUGCCCCGCCCACUCCGGCCCCACCAGAGUUACUGCCUGCCGCGGAGCCAGACGUGGCACUGGAGCACUCGUCAUCGCUUCCGUACUUGGGGCUUGAAACUAGGGUUGCACUUCCGCUCAGGGCUCGGGGAGUCGGGGCGUCGUCGGCAUGGACCCCAACCCCGUCCUCUAGUGUGUCUUUCAGAUGGGCAAUGUUAUCAGCGCUGCCGAACUUGUUCCUGAUUAGGCUGGCAAACUCUCUGGGUUUGGACACAACGGCAGUGUGAGUGAGGGCCGACACGCCACCUUUGACCCCUUCCACCACUCCACCUCCAAAACCACUUAUCCCAGCGCGGACAUUGGCCCCGACAUCCUUUAACCCCUGCUGCAUGUCCCGCAGGACGUCCUUUGGUUGGCGGGCCGGACCAUUCUGGUGGAACAGAAAGAAGUGCCACCGAGGAGCGUGAGAGUGAACCAGUAGGUCCAGGAGCUACGUAUCUUCAAGAUGAAGCUUCUUGUGGUAGUGUUCCAGUUUCUUGUGCAAGUGUGCGAUGGUCUGUGCAGACUUCUGGUUCUUCUUCUCAAACACCUGUUUGAUCCUGGAGGCUUGCUGUUUGUCUGCGUUGUGGGCCAACUUCAGGUACUCGGCCACGUUGUCGUCACGGGCCUCCUGUUCCACGCGGAUCUGCUCGGUCACUUUCAGGAUCUUCUGCUGAAGAUGCUCCAGUGCGGCACGUGUCCGCUGUGGCUCACUUGGCCACGCGGUCCCCUCGGCGCCGCCGGCCGUGACCACUGAUGCUGCCGCUGCUCCAUCAGUGCUGAUGUUGCUGUCAGAACCUCCAUGACUGGUGGUGGAGGGGAGGCCGAGAGUUGCCACCUCACUCUUAUCCAGCUUAGGAGAAAAGCAGAGGACUUUCCUGAGGUAGUGAAGGACAGAACCGACACACUGAAGCUGAAGAACAUGAUGCUGCGUAAAUUGGCGUCUUGGAUUGCAGCAUCCAUCGCCAGAGUGGCGUCACUCCAGUUCAACUGCUAAUGGUUUGAUCCCAGGCUGCUGCCCCACUUACUGCCAAAGUGCCCUUGAGCAAGUCUCUGACACCUCGUUACGCUUGGCACAUUCACCAGCUAUAAUGAAGCGUGUGACAUCCAAUAGCUGCAGCUAAACAGCUGCUGAUUGGUCGGAACCUUCAGAUAAAAAUGAACCGAAAUAUCAACCGUUUUCCAAAGAGCCUAAAUAAUUGAGGGCUGUCCCUAUGUCACUGGUCAGCUUUGACAUGGUUUGGCUUAAAGCCAUGUGAUCAUUUAAAUUAUUAUUAUUAUAGUAAUAAGGUGUAACAGCAAACAAAUGCACAACAGAAAGGUGUGCAUCAUCAGAAUGAAGGAGGCUGUGUUGUCUCCACUGAUCCACCAGGGCAUCCCCGGCAGAUGGGAGCCUUGCUAGAGACCCGACGUCCAAACGCUGUGAUCACAACCUGCAAACAUAAGCUCAGGCAGACACAUGACUCCGAGCCUCACUGAGCUGCUCCAGUUUCUCUGGACAGGCCAGGACACUUUAUUCACAUCACGUCUGCGUGACAGGGCUACGAUUCCAGCCGCCAUAGAUGAGCAGCACAGGCCGAGGGAGACACAAAAUAGGUCACAUUCACCAGAGGAGCAGCAGAGGACUGCGGCCGUCCCUGCUGUUUGAAGUGAUGCGACGCGGUGGGAGAACAACACAGCAGCGUGUAGCCAUGGCUGAAGCUGCAGCGUGUUCAGGGGACGGAGACGAGGAUGAAGAUGAGGAUGGCAUGGCUCGGUUACACGGACACAUGAGGCGAAACACAAGCAGUGGGGUGAUAAAUUAAAUCAGAAACGUUACCAUACUGCUUUAAUCCAAUUUGUGCAGUGCCAUUGCAAGUCUGUGUUUGAGGCCCAUCCUCCUCCUCCUCCUCCUGAGCCCCCUCCCGCCUCAGAUAUCUUCACCCCCAGCCGUUGUUUGGCUGACUAUCACCUCACUAGAUCCUAAAGCUCCAUUGUUAGUGCCAUCGAUAUGUGCAGUCUCCUCUCUCUCUCUCUUUCUCCCUCUCUCUCUCUCUCUCUCCCUGCCGCCUGUUGUGCUCCCCCGCCUCGUGUGGCUGCUCGCUCUCCUGCUCCUCACACAAAUGCUGCCUGUCCUGUCCUGUAAUGGAUGAGGGAGCAGAGGGACAGAUGAUGGCGGGGGGAUGGGAGAGGUUGGCGCAAGCCUGCAGGUGCCAGAGGAGGAAGGGAGGGGGAGCCAGAGAGUGGAGGCUGGACCUGCCACUGGCCCGACACACACAUGUAUUCAUACCCUUGUUAGGACUCUCUUAUUGACAUGAUGCUCUCACCCUCAACCUAACCAUCCAAAACACAUGGCUAAGCUUAACCAGGACUGAAACCCAGUUCUAAGCUCCUUGUUAUUUAGAAGUCUUCAUUCUCAGAUUCAGGCUUAAACUUGUCAAAACAGUGCGAACUAAGCCAAAUGUCCUCACAAGGUGUUGUUUUUCCAACAAGAAAAACAAUCCCACAGACAGACACACGUACGCCUGUAUACAUCAGAGCUGAACUCUACUUAUUCUGUCAGAUGCUUGAGUUCAGAGGACAACCAACAGUCUGCUGUGGUUUCUUGACAACUCUGUGUGCAUGUGUGUUUCUUAAGCAUAUCGAUGCUAUUGAGGAAUACUUUUGGGGAAAACCCCUCCUUAUGCGGCCCUUAUGCCUUUGGGGGGCUUUUAACAAGGUUAAGCCUCAAUUUGAGGAUGAACAAACAAAACAACAAGGUCACUAUACGUGAGUUUGGUUCAGAGCUUGGGUUAAGUGCAACCAUUUGUUUUGAAUGGUUGAAUGUACUUCAAGCCUUUUAUGGACUAUGGACCUUGACUCACUCUUUACGUGUUUCAUACCCACAGUGUCGCAGAAAGUGAGACAAAAAAGAAAGAUAAGAAACGUUGUUCUGUCUUAAACAAGAUCUUUGAAAGGGAACUUCUUGUGUCUGGUUUGGCAAUUUUAUUAUUAUUUGACUGUGUUUCAUCGACAAUGUCCUCUGCAGAGACAACCAAAAACACUGCCCUCUAGUGCCAGGAGGUCGUCAUUUCAUGGGAAUCCUCUCUCAAAGGCCUGGAUAGGGGUCUCCCUCGAGUUCAAUCGAAUUACGGGCAUUUAAAGACCUUUUUGAUAAAUUGACAAUCAUCAAUCAUCAAUGGCGACUCUGGGACACAUGAGAAUUCUCUGUCUGCCACACAGGUGGAGCAGGAUUUAGGUUAUGAACAUC